GGGGACUCGGUGCGGAGCCGGGGCGCCGAGUGUCUCCGUGUCCCUCUGCCCCAGCCGGCGGCCGCGAUGGUGGAGCUUGGCCUCUCGCUCUCUCCCGCCUCUCCAGCGACUGCUCUGCCGGCCGCGGAGGUCGGAUCGAGCGGUCAUUCAUUCAUUUGUUAAUUCGUUCACUUAUUCAGGGGAGAUCAUUGAACCCCUACGGAGUACCGGGUACUGGGCCGGGCGCUGAGGACGCGGGGCUGAGCAAAAGCAGCCGAGGCCCACCUUCGUGCCCCUUAAAACCCAGCGUGCGGGGCGGCAACGAGUACUGCUUUUCUGUUUUGCACUUAAAAUUUACAUUUUGCAUCCGUACUUUUUAUUUACUGUGCACCCUUACGGCAUGCUUUACGCACCCGUACCUGCACCUCCUAGCCUUGAGUGUAGACACCAGAUCCUGAGAUGGGCGAUUUUUCGAGAAUAAUUUUUACCCUAAGUGGAUUUUCGUGCCACGCAUGGACUUGGAACUACACACACGUAGUCCAAAACGUGAAAGUCAAAAUGCAGCUUUGCCAAGUGGCAGGGAGAAAGGAGAGCUGAGAAGAUGAGGAGAGGAAGGGCGCGCUCCAGGCUUUCCAGCCCGGGUGCGGUAGACGUAGCCCUGAAGGAUGAACCCAGGCUGGUAGUAGGGCGGCGGGAGGGCGGGGGGACCUGUCAGUCAAGUCCAAAGCAGAAACGCGGCGCCGGAUCCCAGUCAGAGGCCGGCUGGAACGCUUCCCACAGGCUCCUGGCGCUCCGGUCCCCACCAGGCGACCUUGAUCCUGGCGUGCUCAGCGGAGCCAGCGCAGCGUCGGGAGCUGGAGAGACGCGGGGCGCCGGCUGAGCGCUCCUGCCCUCUGCCUCUGGGCUAGCCUCUGGCCCGGCCUCCCGGCCUCCCCCAGGGUACGCUCUCCCCCAAGAGCGAACACCAGCUUUGGGAUCGCCAGCAGCCACGUCUCUGCUUCUAGAUCUCUUUUUUUUUUCUUUGAGACUUAGUUGAUAGCUGUUUAAGGAAUUAUGUGGAGGAAAUCUCACCUCCGACCCCCGCCCCCGUUGAGCACGGCCGGCCAGGGUCGCUGGGUGGGCCAGGAGGAAAGAAAGGGGCGGGGAAGAAGCAGCAAUUUUACUUUAAAUUAAAAUGACACAAAAAUAUUUUUUCAACUCAGAUCUUUCUGAGACAUCCCCAGAAAGCGUUGCAAGCUGUGAUUACACCUAAUGUGAGAGCAUGAACUAAUUUAAGAGGUGAGAGCUGCAUAAUGAGGCUGCCUCCCGUGUAGCAGCCAAGACUGGCAGCUCUGGCGGCGCGCUGGAGGGGACCGGGAGGGGCACCCUUGUAGAACCAGUCCCUGGCGCCCUGGGAUCUUCUCAGUGCCCUGGCGCUGUGUUGUCGGUCACUCCACAGAUAUUACAGGGUGCCUCCUGAAUGCCGGGUUGCAAUCAAGAGCAAGAGAUGGGGCGAGUGAAAGAGCCUGUUUUCAGGAGCUCAGCAUCAGGAUGACGAUUACCUAGAGGGAGGUGGUGGCCAGCCUCCCCCUCUUCUCUUCAUGCUGAGGCUCUGGUGGGCAGUGCCCAAGCCUGAACUGCCAUCUGUAUGCCAGUGGUUACCCAACUUGUAUUUUCAGUCUUAGCCUCUCUCUGGUCCAGACUUGUCAUUCUAAGGGCCCUUUUUCACUGACUCACAUUGUCUCCUCCCUCCCUGCCUUCCAAACUCAGCCUUUUCCUUUUUCCCUUUCCCACUGACAACAGCUGCACGACCCCCCCGCCCCCCCACGAGGUGAAAAUUCCCAAGAACCCCAUGUCUAACCUAACUCCCUCUCUAUGUCCUGUUGCUUGAGCCAUUCUCAUUAGGCUGCCUGUUCGGAGUUCAUUAUCUCCUAAUUUUUCAUCCAGGAAUUGAUGAAGAAUCACCUACUGCCUCUCCCACACACUGUUUAUUCUUUCAUUUGAUGAUAUCUGUUAAGUGCCCUGAGAUAUGUAACCUCCACUUCCCUCCCAUAUAAGUGAGAUUUCACGUUGAUUACUUCCUUGGCUUUCCUCAUCCCUUAUCCACAUAGCAUGUGUUCAAAAUAAUGAAUAUUAAUUUAAUGUUAAUAGAUAUGUGCUUUCCUGAAUUGUGAGGAUUAAAUGAAAUCAUGUAUAUAGGGAGGAAAAUCCAUUAGAAACCUCAAAAGCAGUUAUGUUUAUUUUUGCUAUUGUCACAUUGUUAGAGUCAGAAUUCUUUUAGCUGCAAGUGACAAAACCAACUCAAACUGGCUUAAGGACUUUAUUGGUUGAUGCAAAAAGCCUCGGGUUAGGUCUUGCCAUUUAAGGUAGGGCUGGAUCCAUCAAUCCGGGUUACCAGGAUCUGUUUUCUAGUUGUGGCUUCAUUUUCAGACAAGUUGUUUCCAUAUGAUAGCCUCAUAGAAGGUACUACCAGCUUAGUCCUAGCAAGAAAAAAGAGUACUUACUCUUCAAUAUUUGCAGCAGAAGUCCCAGGUCUGUUCUUAUGAGGGCAGUUUGAGUCACUUGCUCUUCUCUGAACGUGGAGAAGGCACUGUUUAGAUGAUGGAGGUUGGAUUCAGGUGCAUCCCCUGGAAUGGGGUUUGGCAUUAGCUUCACGUGGUCUAGAAUAAAGGGGUUCUCCAAAGGAAAAUUAGGGUAGGAAUGCUGAGUAAGCAGAACAAACAGAUGUCUACUUUAGUCCUUCCCAAAGGGUGAGCUGCAAUACAUUGCAGACUAUCAGAAUGGUGAUGAACACGGAUGCAGUAGCCAAGAAAAUAGAUGUGUGUUUGUCGUGGUCUUUUUCAGUCUUCAAGAUCUCAGUUAAACAUGAAGUCAACCACUCACUAUGAUGUUAUUUGAGGUUUAGCUUUGAAGUGGAAAUGUACCACAAAUAGUAGAGCCAGAUAAAUACAAAUAAAUAAUUUUAACAGUCCAUUCUAAAAGAUUUCUUUGGUAAUAUUCUGUUGGAAUUGAUUUCUAUCUUUUCAUUUGUUAGGUUCCUGGAAAGUGAAAAUUUCAUUUCUUUGUGGACAGGUACCUAAAAUGUCUCAUUAUUCAUCAAUUAAUGAAAAACAAAUGAAAAUUUGAGAGAGAUAUUCUGAAGAAUAAAAGGAUCAAGUUGGGUCAUUUCUAAAAUGUAAGAUUAUAAGGUUUAACUUGCUAAGACUUUUGAGGGGUUGAAUUAUUGGUAAAUUAUUAUAGAACCACUUAUCUGAGGCUUUUAAAAGUGAUGUGUUACAGAGAUUUAGGGAACUGCAAGAUUGCAGAUAAAGAAUUUAUACUGUCAACUGUUCUAUACUUUACCUUCUGCUUUAAAUGCGGCCUUAUAUUUUGAAGUCAAACAUUUAUUUUCUCUCACUGCGUUCUGAAUUUCCUACCACAGUGCAUUUUGAGAAAUGAAUAUAACAGCAGUCUUCAUAGAUGCCAUAUUCAUGGCAACUCUGUCCCCCGCCAACACCACACCCUGGAAAAAAACCAACUUUCUAUUGUUGGAAUGAGGUAACAUUUUCAGGAAAAGGGAACCAUUUUCUCACAGGAUAUAGAACAAAUUCAACCUUUUAUUAAAUCAAAAUGGAUUCUCUAAUGUUUAUACAUAUCAUAUAGGAUUUCAUCUCUUUCAAUCUUGGUUCAAAGGCCCAGACAGUACCAUUCCCUAGUAUUUAGUCCAUUUGCUCAUAAAGCAGAAGAGAAAAGCUACUUUGUUCCGAAGGGUGUUAGAUUUAGGAUUCCAAGGUUAUUUCAAAUUAAUGCCUGGAACUAGACUAUAAAAUGCAGGAAAGAUUCUAAGUUGUUCAAAGAUGAAAUAUCUUAACUUUCACCAAAAACUCUGUCUUCUGGGUAUUUUUUGUUUUUCUGCCUUUCCAGAUUUAUUUUAAAUACAACAUUUUUGCUGUUUACAUUUUUAAAAGUUACAUUUCAAAAUUGUUCAUAAUUGGACACUUUCAUAAAAUGUAGGCAAAUGCAGUUUUACUUUUUAAUGAAGGACAAGUCUGUUGAUAACAUUUUGAUUCUUAAAAUUUUUUUUAUCUUAUAAAAAUGAAACAAUGCAUUUAAAGUGUCUUCAGCUCUUAUGUUAAUACCAAAUUAUACAUUUUCUUAGCCCAUGUUCAGGAGAGACAAUAUAUCUUCCAAAUUAAGAGAAGCUGGCACCAUUUUUAAAACAAGGCCUUGAAUCUGCUGUGGUAUGUGCUGGUAGGAAUUUUGUAUGAAGCUGUUAUUGAAGUAGAUGACAUUAAGGUCAAAGGAAAAAAAAAACAGAAAAUAAUGUAAUCCUACAGAGCUGCUCUUAAGAUCUUGAGAGAAAAACCACGUAGGUAACAUCAAACACUAGUUGGAAUCUUUCCAAGAAGUAAUUAUCUGUGUGCUGUUUGUGGUGGUUGAUUAUGGGAACAAACCAAGGUUUAGCCAAUUCAGCAAACAUUUAUGGAGUGCCUGCAAUGUGCAUGUCACUGUUUUAAGGCCUGUGCCUACUGUAAAGGUGACCCACACAUGAUGCCUGCCUUGCAGGACUUGGAGUUCAGCGAUAAUAAGAGAUGCAUACCUGAAAAGCCUAUUUAAGACUCUUCCGGUUCUACAAAGAAGGCUUCUUGAAAGUGGUAGCUUUGAUUACUCUUUGGAUUUAUUUACAUUUAUCCUAUAAUCAGAAGGUAUACAAAACAGACUCACACAUAUAUAAAAUUAAUAGAUUAGAUAGCAUUUAAACAAAUAUUUCAGGUAGGUACUUCAAAUGCAUUUGACAUUUAUCAAAGAAAUGGUAAGUGCUGUCAUCCGUGGGUGGCUGGAUUAACAUGUGGGACUACUUAUCACCAAUUUUGUUAGGGAUCUUAGGGAAAUUCCUGGAUCUUAUAUUCACAAGCAAUUGUAUAAAUACUUCCCACAGCUCAGAGACCUAAUAGGAUGGGGUCUUAGAGAAACAUCUUUUGAGCCACAGACUUCUUUGUUACCAGAAGGAAAAUGAAAGAAGAAAUUUAAAUACCACUUGAAGAGAGAGAGUGUGAAGAAAUGACCCUGAAAAGCCUCUGGCAGAGGAUUCUUCUUUCAGGAUGGUGUCGCCUCCUCAGCAGCCCAUCCUCCUCCCCUGGACUCAAGCUCUCAUUCCAGUAACACUCCUUCCUCCUUCUCCAUCUUCAGGGGGAGGUUUGCCAGUCGGUGGGUUCUAAGCAUAUCUCGCUGAUUCCCCCCAACCCUGCCGACACCUCUGUAGGUCGUCCCUUCAUUAAAAUCUCUCCAUUUGAACUAUCUGAGUUUAAUUCCAUUUCCUCCUGGUAUCUCAGUGAUACACGGUAUCAGUACAAAAAUCUCGCUUCACCUUCAGAACCAACAGAUUUGAGACAUUUUAUCCUCUGUGGAACCAUUAGUUAUUUUGUCAUUGGUUGUAUCAGAAAAAAAAAUCAGGAAUGCAAAUCCUUCUUUAUUACAGAUUCAGAUUUGCAUAUUACCAAUGUUAUAUAUUUUAAACAAAACUAUUCAUCAUAAGUUUUAAAAAUUAACUACUGGAGUAGUUAAUGAAUCUGAAUGUAAUUAUGUAGCUUUCAUAAUAUUAAAGUAAAAAUACUAAAAGAAGUAUUUCUUAAAGAAGCAAAUGCUCAAUCUCCAAGUAAAUUUUAUUCUAUGCUCUUCCGGUAUAAGAAUAUGUUAAUAUCUUGAAAAAUAUCAUAUUAUUUUGUGAACUCAUAAAGCUAUUUUGAGUUUUUGUAAAAUGAAAACCUUACCAAAAUGUAUUUUAUUGUUGGAAAGCUUGACCGUUACUGCUGUUUAAUUUUUUGAGCUUGUAAACUUUAUUUGUGCAUGUUUUCAACAAAGAAGGAUUUUAUUGUUAUUACAUAAAACAGGUGAUUUCUAGAUUUUAAAAUCACAAAUUGAAAGCAAGGCACAAUAAUAUAUAUUUCAAGAUAUAGGUACUUAGGAGGCAUCCUUUUAGUCAUCUGUUCAAUGUAGCCAUCUAUUUUACACCUACUGUCUACUAUUGUUUGAGGUCCUUGCCAAAGUAUUGCAGGCUAGUUAGGAAACAUAAAACAAUUAGAAAGUAAUCUAUGACAAGUAAGCUAUCUAUAAAUGGCAAUGAAGGGUAGAACAAAUUCAAUGAAAAUAUCUAUUUAAUCCUAGUGUUUACUGGUCUAGAAGAAUAGGCUGAGUAAAUUAGUAUUUCUCUGGCUGUUGUGGUAACACAUUGCAUGCUAUAACAGUUUUAAGUAAUUACAGGUGCAUUGAAAUUUAUCUAUGGCUUUGUCAUCAUAUUCUAAAAUGUCAUGAGUACUUUUUUCUGACCUCAAUUACUAUGAAAUUGGUUUCCAAUAUUUAAUUAACCAAGAAUAUCAAGUCUAUAGGGUAUUAUUAAGGUGAGACUUCUGUAGCCUUUUCAAUAAAGACCAGAAUUUUGGAGUGCCUUGAACCUUAAUCAUUGAUCUUUAAUUCUUAUUAAGUCAACUGCCCACCUUUUAAAGACUGAGGCCCAGGAAGAGUAAGUUUCUCUGAGACAAUGCAUACAGUACAGUGCUUCUUGGGUAUUGGCUCUAAGACCAGAUGCAAAGAAAGGCUAAAAUCCCAUUUCAUUGUUCAUUAGGUGAGAACCCUUUGUUAAGCUGUGUAACCUCUGUGCAUAGUUUCCUCAUCAGCAAAGUCAGAAAAAGUAUGUACCUGAAGGACUGAUUGUAAGGCUGGGAUGAGAGAAUCCAUGUGAUCAGCCCUCACCAACAGGUGCUGCCCAGUUCAUGAGUGCUGCUGCUGUCCUGCCCAAGUACCCAGCUUGCAGAGUGCCAGAGUUAGAGUCCCAGGGGUGUUCUCCACAGCUGCAUGCUUGAUCCAGGCCUAUCAGAUAUAUUCCAUUGAAAGUCCUCAUUCUCAAAUUUAAAACAAAGACUUUUUGUGUACCUCAAUAGCAAUGCACACACAGUUGGCUUCACAAACAUAUUGUACAUUUCUUUUUUUCAUAUUUAUUCAACAAAUGUAUAUUGACUACCCACCGUGUGACAGGUGUUAUUUGUUGACGGAACCAGGCAUCAUCAGCAAACAAAACUGACAAAGCUUCCUGCCCUCUGUGGAAGGCAUCUGAGGAAGAGACUGGAUUUUGUAGCAACAUGUUAUUCUCAUUAUAAACUUUAUCAUUGGAAUACUAAAGCCAAAUCAUCCCCCAUCUCCUUGAUCAGGAUACCCACUUAAUCUAGGCAGCUACACAAUUGUGAGAGCCUUUGUUUUUUUCUGCUGAAACAUCCUUAAAAAGAUACCUCACAACCCAAGAUUUGGCUUUUCUUAAAUACGAUUUUUAAUUUUUUUCAUUUCUAUCUAGAGAUUUAAUUGGAAAUGGAAAAUCAUCAAUUUUCCAAUUAAAUGUCUGUUCCAAUCAACAUUAUACCUUUUAGGUUGUCAUUGUCAUUUUUAAGUUUAAGCAACUUUAAGGAUUUUGAAUCUGGCUGCCUGUAAAUUAAAGGUGAAAGUAAUCAUUGUGUUGGAUUGGAACAUUUUGUCAAUUGAGAGUGGUUUCCUUGUUCUUAGUGUAUGAAAAGUUUAUUUUUCUAAUGUAGAUUAAUAAAGGAGAUAAAGAAAAACAAAAUGAGUGAUUUAUGUGUGUGAGAAAAGAACCAUUUCCUCAAGGAUUAAAUAAAAUUCAUACCUUUUGUUUCUUUUGAAAAGUUUUUAAAAUAAAUUUUAAUGAAUGUGUCCUUUAAAUAUUCCUUUAAAAAUGUAUCCUAUUUUAAAAUGGACUCUCUGAGAGAAGGAAUUGAUACCUGUGUUUAAAAUCAAAAAUAGCAUGCAUAGAGACUGUUUUUCUAGUUGGUUGAAGCUUUUUUCCCUCUCCUUUACAUCAGUGAACCAGCAUCUUGCCCUUCAGACCCUACAGCACACUCUUGGGCUCAUGAAGUGUAUGACACAUCCUCCUUGGGGGAUCGGCCAUGUCCUCGCUCUCAUGACCACAUGAAUUCUUCUGUAUGUCUUUUCUCACAGCUGAGUACUCUCUUCCUGACCCCCUUGUGGAAUGGGGAAAGGAGGCUGUGACAUUGUGCUUGUGCAAACAAUAAUUGAGAGCUUUCCGAGUCUCCUGCAUCUUCAUAAAUGAUUUUUUGUUUUAUGCUGGGACAGUAGUUCUUUAAAUAGAAUAUUCUCCCAUGGAAAUCGCCCACAAUGCUGAGAGUACACCUUGCAAAAGGUAAGUCUAGAAUAUAGGGUGCCUCCUCAGCAUUGCCCAGAAGCUGAAGUUAGGACUCUCUAGAAUACCAAAAACAAAUUUAUAGCAGUUCAUUAAUGUAAGGAAUUAUGAAAACUGUGUGCCACCAUUAUCCAUAGAUGAAACAAGAGCCACCACGCAAGCACAGACACAAAGCCCUGAAGAUGAAGCCAUUGACAGGGCUCUCAUUUAUUCUGUAGAAACCCACUUGCCUGUUUUUGAACCAGUUUUCUUUGGAGCAUAUGUCUCACUGUGCAACCAAAGUGGUGUUUAUAUCCUAGUCACUUGGCAAAAAUUCUGUCAUUGCUUCAGGGAGAUCCAUUUUAGGCCUGAAGCAUGGAGCUGGUAAUAGAUGGGAUUUGGUACUUCUGAAGAAAAGACCCUACUGCAAAUUUAGAGAGUUAAUUUUUUCUUUUGUUCCCCAUAAUAUUGUUGCUAGAUAGAACUACCUUUUUUGACUAGAAGUUAAAUAUAGAGGCCUAAAUCAAUUAGGUAACUCCCACUCAUUCUAAAUGAGAACAUGUUUGUUUUUCUCCAACGAGAUGAGAAAUAUUUGAGGCGCUUCCUGAUAUCUCUAUCACCCACUGCAUUUUUUCACUUGAUGUAUAUUUCCCCAUGUAUUUGGGAUAAUUUUCAAAUAAUUGCCCUUUAGAAAUCUACUUGAUAUUAAAUGUAAAAAAAAAGCAAGAUGCAAAAUUAUUAUAGGAUGCAUUUACAGAAAUUACAAAAUUUCUAUAAACUAUUUAUGGAGGAAGACUUAUAGAGUAUAUGUCAACACAUUGCUUUAUUAUUGUCCUUGGUUAUGAGUAUGGUUUUUUUGAAACCUGCUUUGUACUUUGGGUGUUUUCUCACCAUUGGUACAAUUGAGGCAUUUUUCCCUCUUCUUCAACCUUGCAAAUCACACGUGAGGAUGCUCAUAGAAGUGCCUCUCAGACAGGCUGUUGUUUUGCUUUCACCAAUAAAUCAUUUAUAAUUAGAAGUAGAAAACUAUUCUUUCCAGUGCAAAUACAUCCCUUUCAAAAGCAGUUCUCUUUUUGUGAAUGAUGUCUAGUGUCUAAGAAACGAGGGUAACCUUUAUUAUAUGCAUUGCUCUAAUCGAAGCAUUGUUUUUUGCGGUGAACUCAAGGUUACAUGUUUAAGAAAAGCAUCGGGUUAAUUCCAUUAGGAAAAGUGUCUUAUUCAUAAACCUUUAGCCACUGGAAAAACACCAUUAGGAGGCCACACAAGUGUGUAUAGCUGGAUAGAAUUUGACAACUGGCAAAACAAAACAAUAGCCUACAAUUGCAGAGUGCUGUCUGUUUAAAAACCAACAUAUCUUUCACCAACAAAUACAUAUUCACCUCAACACGAGACUUUCAUGUGGUUAUUAAUAUCAAAUUUUUGAAUGUCCAAAUUUUGGAGUGUAGUCUAGCAGAGGUAAACUGAUUUGCCUAAGGUCCUUCAACUGUCAGAGGUAGAAUUAUUUUCUCUCUCCUGGCUCUAAAACCUGUCCAGAUUCUCCUGCAACACUGUCCUUCAAAAACACACUUCCGCUGACUCCAGUGCUGGUGAUGUCAUGCUUUAGCUAGUAGUUAGAGGUGACUUAACUUUAAAUAUGGAAUCUUUUUUUCCUAUUAAGCAAUGAGGUUUAGUUUGAAAAUUCUUAGAGAUGAUAAACCCCUCUCCUUUUUUUCUUCCUUCUCCUCUUUUGUCCUGAACAAUGUUCCAUAUAUAUUACUGCCAGAAACAGAUUCUUGACAUUCCUGUUAUGCUUUUCCACAUCUUGUAAUCAUUUCUACAGCUGUUAGCAUUGCCAACAAUUAUAUUUCCACUUUUAAAAAAUUGUUACAAAGAUGCAGAGAGAAAAGAGGAAAGCCAAGGAAUAAACUACAGGCAAUUAUGGGAUAUUUUUGUGAUGUGACAUUUUGGGAACUGAGGCAGCAUCACUGAUACUGCACUACUUUUUAAUAUCUAGAUUUUAAUCUUUUGUAUGAAGAUAAAAUUCACAUGCCUUAAACCUGACCACAACAUAAUAGGGCAUUUAUUUUUCUAAUUUUGAUACCAUCCACAUUUCUUAACUAUAAGAAGAAUGCUUAUGUUGUACCAGGUUAUAUGAUGUUGCCAAGAAGUAGAUGUGUACCAUUUACUAAUACAUCCUUUUGGAAAAUGCGUAUUAAUAACAUAUUAAGGAGUAAAUUGACGUUGUGCAAAGUGAGCCUGUGAGUUUAAAUGUAUGGAUUGUACACCUUGCUCUUCCUAAUUGCAGAUUUAACAGGAUUUGAUGACCUAAUGAGUUUAUUUCUGAAUGAUUUAUAUUUCUUUGUCAGUUCAAUGAUUUAGUAUUUUAAAUUUUUUUAAAUCACAUUUUAUUGAGAUAAUGCUAUUAGUGUUUCUUUCCCAUCACUUAACAAAGUUAAGUCACUCCUCUCCCACCCCACUUUUGUACCUACCAAUGUUUUUUUCACAGUUACAGGCUGAUUGGCUUGACGUGUCUUAGGAUACCACCCAAAGAGAGCUUCAUUUUAUAAAUACCAAGCUCAUUUUCCUAAAUAUUUUCAAAAAGAUAGAUUUAUCCUCAUAUAGUAAAUUCAGAUUAAUAAUUUUGGAAAGGGUCAUGUGACCAUGGUAUUACAUGGCUGUGGAAGACCCUCCAAGAUCUUGUUUUGGGAUAGAAGGACUCAGACAUCCAAACUUUUAAAUUAAUGAACUUAUUAAAUUCUAAAACUUUGUAACAGUGUUAAUUUGAGAAGUAUAAUAUUUUGCUUAAGGUCUGUUUUGCUUUGCAAAAUGCAUCUCCUUCAUUUUCAUAUUAUGUUGGAAGCUUAGCAUGAAAGAACGUGCCUCAGAGGAAACCAUAGGUAAGCAUACUUUAACAAAAGUUAGUGUCAUCAUGUUUGUGUCUUUGCCUGUGGUUUUUUAAAUGUAUAAUGUUUAACGUUGAUUUGGCUAUCAAAUUACAUUUUCUUUUGUUAAAAAAUUCUGUAAAUUAGAAAUGUACUGAAUCAUUUAUUUAGCAGACUGAAGGUGGGUAAUGUUGGCUGAACAGGUUUAAGCCACAGUAAUUUGAAAAUGUAAAUACAUAAAAUAAUGUCAUUUCUCUUCCACUCAAUGUUUCUUCACCAAAUAAAGUCCAGCCUGCUCUGAA